CCACCUUAAUCUGCACUCUGAUAUAAUUUUAACCAAGGCACAUUGCUUGCAUUUAAAAGAGCCUGGGGGAUGAAUUUCUGAGUCGCAACAUGAAUACUCUUGCGCAGGUUACACACACACACACACACAUACUUGGCAAAACCCACUAGUUAAUCUACAUACACACACACAUAUACACCUUUUUUUUCCUAUUUUGCUAACCUCCACCACUUCAAAAUUGCGCAAGGGUAAAGCACGCGUGAGAAUGUCCAUAUCUCUACCCAAGCGCCACAGAAGGACUGACGAUUAGAAACAGCUGGCCGUUGCGGGGAAUGCUAAAGUAUCGGCGAGGCGUUACCUAACCCCGCCGCCGAGUGAGAAUCAACACCAAACUGCGCAAUGCCUGCACAGCCAGCACGUGAGAAUGCCCAGGUUAACUAGAGCCUUAAGGAAUGUGCGUGUGUAUAACUGAAUAGCGGUAGUUGAUAGGUAGGAAUAGGAGGACAGGUAAACGUCAGACCGUGGGAAAAGGGUGUUAAUUAGAGAAUGCCCAGGUUAACGUAGAGCCUUCAAGAAUGCGUGUGUGUACCUGAAUAGCGGUAGUAGGUAGGUAGUAGGUGAAUAGGAGGGCAGGUAAACGUCAGACCGUGGGAAAAGUGUUAAUUAGAGAAUGCCCAGGUAACACAGGGCCUUUAGGAAUGUGUGUAUACCGGUACCUAGUGAAUUAGACGCACCUUUAUUGUAAUAGUGAAGUAGAGGAACGUUCAAUAGCGGGACAGGUAAACGUGUGAGACCGUGGGCAAUGAGUGUUAAUUAGAGAAUGCCCAGGUAACACAGGGCCUUUAGGAAUGUGUGUAUACCUGUGACUAGUGAAGUAGAUACACCUUGAAUGUAAUAGGACAGGAAAAGGAGUGAGAAACGAUAGGUAGACGGCAAUUUAAUGUGUUAACCAGAGGAUGCUCAGGUAAAACAGCUCUCAAAAAGGUGUCAAAUCAACUGUUACGAAAAAAAAGUGUCUUGAAUUGGUAGAAAAAAGGGCCAAAAAAAGUGUCCUGAAUUGUGUUAGAGAAAAGACUAAAAACGUGUCUUAAGUAGAUUGUUGGAAAUAAGCCAAAAAAAGAAAAAGUGUCCAGAUUAAUAGAGGAAAAGGCUAAAAAAAAAAGGUGAUAAAUAAAUUGUUAGAAGAUAAAAAGCUAAAAAAAAAUGUGUCUUCAGUAAACAGCUACAGAAAAAUGUCUGAAGAAACAACAAUAUCAAACCGAAAUCUAAAAAUCCUACCCAUUCUCUACGCUCGGCCGGCUUAACAACUUCCGUGCCAUCUACAAACGGGACUUCUCUACGGGUAACGCCCACGCCCGCCAUCUACCGCCACGCAUCGACUCCCUACAAGGCACCCGUAACAAGAGGCGUCACAUUAGGAGAGGGAGAGGAGUGACGCUGUAACGGGUGACGGAGGGAGAGGCGGAGCAUGUCUUCGGUGGAUGUAACGGGAUUACCAGAGAGAGAGAGAGAGAGAGAGAGAGAGAGAGAGAGAGAGAGAGAGAGAGAGAGAGAGGAGGGGGGG